UACGAAGGGGGCUAGCGUUGCUCGGAAUCACUGGGCGUAAAGGGCGCGUAGGCGGCCGGCCAAGUCGGGGGUGAAAGCCUGUGGCUCAACCACAGAAUGGCCCUCGAUACUGGCUGGCUCGAGACCGGAAGAGGUUGGUGGAAUUGCGAGUGUAGAGGUGAAAUUCGUAGAUAUUCGCAAGAACACCGGUGGCGAAGGCGGCCAACUGGUCCGGAUCUGACGCUGAGGCACGAAAGCUAGGGAGCAAACAGG
rnacentral:rRNA from 1 species